AUGUUAAGCGUGAAGGAUAACGUUGCGCCAGCAACGGCCCGUAGGGCGAGCGAAGCGAGUCAUCCUGCACGACCCACCA
rnacentral:sRNA from 1 species